rnacentral:lncRNA from 1 species
CGGAACUCAUGAUAAAAGAACUGUAUCACACAGUAACUGUACAAAGAGGUUCAGUAUUCCAUUCUACUGCAAUACCACUACAUGCUGCUAGACGUUACUGGUGAAUUGUGAGACUCAUGAGAAUUAUCUAGAUAAUUGAUAAUUCUCAUUGGGCUGAGUGGAAAUUGUUACUAUCCACUGAAAAGAGUUUCAGUGAUAUUGUUGAUAGUGAUCAAAAUAUAUCUCACUACCAAAUAGAAUAGAACCUAUGGGGUCACACACAUAAGAGGUUGCGAUUAAUCGGAUAGUUAGAUAGCGAUUUUUGAAUCGUCGGAGGAUCUAAUUGUCAAUAUGCUGAUAAUUUGACUAUUUUGUAAUUGUUAUAAAUUAGUGAUAUUAAAGUGUAAAUGUUAUAAGAGAGGACUUACUAACAGUUAGUAAUUAUGAGAGGACUUAUGUGUAAAUGUUGCAUUAAUUAUAUGAUCAAAUUAAGAUAAAGUUCAAGUUGAAUCAAAUUAGGAUUUGAUUGAUCUAACCAAUUAAUGAAAUGAUAAAUUUAAAUAUAGAUUUGUACUUAUCCUUAAUGGUUAUUAUAUUAUUAAAAAAAGGAUUAU